CACCCAAUUUUCUCUUGGAAACAGUUACCCACAAAUCAUUCCAAGUCAAGAACACACCUUCAAUAUUACUACGAAUACUACUCUUUGAAUGCUUCAAUUCUUCUUCUUCUUCAUCAUGUUUUCCGAUUCCAAUAUCCCCUGACUCUAUCGGUUCCAUUUCCAGAUUUACGUAUUGAUAUUUAUCAGAAUAUAGACUUCACAAAAUAUACUCCUAUAUAAUGUCACGAGUCUUGUUGUCCAGCAAAUGGUCACAAAGUGGCCGACAUUAUACUCUCAUUAUUUGUUAUUUCUAAUUCAUUUUUUAUAUGAAAAAAUCUUUUUG
rnacentral:lncRNA from 1 species